rnacentral:rRNA from 1 species
AGUGAACGCUGGCGGUAGGCCUAACACAUGCAAGUCGAACGGCAGCACAGUAAGAGCUUGCUCUUACGGGUGGCGAGUUGCGGACGGGUGAGGAAUACAUCGGAAUCUACUUUUUCGUGGGGGAUAACGUAGGGAAACUUACGCUACUACCUCAUACGACCUACGGGUGAAAGCAGGGGAUCUUCGGACCUUGCGCGAUUGAAUGAGCCGAUGUCGGAUUAGCUAGUUGGCGGGGUAAAGGCCCACCAAGGCGACGAUCCGUAGCUGGUCUGAGAGGAUGAUCAGCCACACUGGAACUGAGACACGGUCCAGACUCCUACGGGAGGCAGCAGUGGGGAAUAUUGGACAAUGGGCGCAAGCCUGAUCCAGCCAUACCGCGUGGGUGAAGAAGGCCUUCGGGUUGUAAAGCCCUUUUGUUGGGAAAGAAAAGCAGCAGGUUAAUACCCCGCUGUUCUGACGGUACCCAAAGAAUAAGCACCGGCUAACUUCGUG